ACAAAGAGUUAUUAGUACAUAUGAACACAAUAUUUUAUUGGAUUGUACUAAAAAAUCUAGGCAUUUUGAAGUAACUAUGAAUAAAUCUCAGCCACUAGAUGGCCUUAUUUUAUUUUUCCAACCUAGUGUAUACAUACAAAAAAGCGAACCUUUCAACAAAUGUAAAGUAUAUCAUUGAAGUGUUAUGAAAAUGUUCUGUUUAUAAUACUUUUCAUAUCUGGAAUAUUUGAGUGUUAUUUAGUAAUAAAUAACGGUUUUCUUGUUUUAUUUAAGAGAGAAUGCAUUUCUAUCCACGUAGGACAAGCCGGAGUCCAAAUCGGUAAUGCUUGCUGGGAAUUGUACUGUUUGGAACAUGGUAUUCAACCAGACGGUCAAAUGCCAAGUGACAAAACUAUUGGCGGAGGCGACGAUUCCUUUAACACUUUUUUUUCUGAGACUGGCGCUGGUAAGCACGUACCAAGAGCCGUUUUUGUCGACUUGGAACCAACUGUUGUUGACGAAGUUCGUACUGGAACUUACAGACAACUUUUCCAUCCUGAACAACUUAUCACUGGCAAAGAGGACGCUGCAAAUAACUAUGCUAGAGGUCACUACACCAUUGGUAAAGAAAUUGUUGAUCUGGUCUUGGACAGAAUCAGAAAAUUAGCCGAUCAAUGCACUGGUCUACAAGGUUUUCUCAUCUUUCAUUCAUUCGGAGGAGGUACUGGAUCCGGCUUUACUUCUCUUCUUAUGGAACGUCUUUCAGUCGACUACGGCAAAAAAUCGAAAUUGGAGUUUGCUGUUUAUCCCGCUCCUCAAGUUUCGACUGCUGUUGUUGAACCUUACAAUUCUAUCCUCACUACACAUACAACUUUAGAGCACUCAGACUGUGCAUUUAUGGUUGAUAACGAAGCUAUCUAUGACAUCUGCCGUCGAAACCUUGACAUUGAGCGACCAACCUACACAAACCUAAACAGAUUGAUCGGACAAAUUGUGUCAUCUAUCACAGCUUCGCUGAGAUUCGAUGGUGCUCUCAAUGUCGAUCUAACGGAAUUCCAAACCAACUUGGUACCUUAUCCCCGUAUCCACUUCCCAUUGGCCACCUAUGCACCAGUAAUUUCAGCCGAAAAGGCCUAUCACGAGCAAUUAUCCGUUGCUGAAAUUACAAACGCUUGUUUCGAACCAGCAAAUCAGAUGGUAAAGUGCGACCCCCGUCAUGGUAAAUACAUGGCUUGUUGCAUGCUCUACAGAGGAGACGUCGUUCCAAAAGACGUCAAUGCUGCUAUUGCAACCAUCAAGACAAAGAGAACAAUCCAAUUUGUAGAUUGGUGUCCAACUGGCUUCAAGGUUGGAAUCAAUUAUCAACCACCCACUGUUGUACCCGGAGGUGAUUUGGCCAAAGUACAAAGAGCAGUAUGCAUGUUGUCGAACACAACUGCAAUCGCUGAAGCAUGGGCUAGAUUGGAUCAUAAAUUUGAUUUAAUGUAUGCCAAGAGAGCCUUUGUUCACUGGUACGUCGGAGAAGGUAUGGAAGAGGGUGAAUUCUCAGAGGCCAGAGAAGAUUUGGCAGCUUUGGAGAAAGAUUACGAAGAAGUUGGCGUCGACUCUGUCGAAGGCGAAGGAGAAGAAGAAAAUGAAGAAUAUUAAAUAGUUUUUCAAUGUCUCUCUCUCUCUCUUUCUCUUCUUUUUAAUUGUAGUUUCUAAAAAAUAAUUUCAAUUUCUUUACUUUUUAUGGCCAAAUAAAAAA
rnacentral:misc_RNA from 1 species